UCAGUCAGUUGAUGAUGGAGUCUCUGCUGGUGAUCCUGCUCGCUCUCAGUGGUUUACAGAACCAUGCAGCUGUCGACCCCUCAUCGACCAUCCAGGUGAGGCUUGGAGAGAAUGCCACCCUGCAGUGCCCUCUGCUGGACACCUCCAAUUUCACCAUGCUCACCACCACCACUGCCCCGACCGCGCCCACCACCCUCAGCUGGUACAGGAAAGCACCAGGACAGGGACCACAGCUCCUUGUCUCCUUCAGGUCUAUGGAUAGACUCAAACUGAAAUACGGCAACGGUGUUCCCCGCAGUAAAGUCUCUAUAGCGGCCGAUGGCUCACUGGUGGUGCAAGGCUCCAAGCAGAGCGACUCGGCGGUUUAUUACUGUGGAAUCAGCCGGGGAGAUGACCGGAAGAAGGAACCAAGGCCACGGAGCCGCAGAAGGAAAUAAUGUCAGGAGUGAGGAUCGACCAGUUAGUCGUUGGCUUUACUUGGCUGCUUGUUCAGACUGUUUCUCUGCUCUUCUUCAGUUCCCCUCAUUUUUAAGCCUCAUCUUUGAACAUCAUACGCAGAAGAAUAUCUGCACCCCACCUCACAGUUUAAUAAACGUGCUUUUUUGUGCAGUGACUGAAAACAGUGAGCUUACAUGUACAACGGCCAAGUUUCUGAGAUUUUUAAUUAACUUGUGUUUGAAUUAAGAGUGAUUUAAAGGCUGUGCUUUUUCAGUAUCCAUGCGCUCUCACAGUCCGGCCAAAUGAAGCUGUUGCUGUAAAGGUGUUUGCUUUGUGGCACUACUUUUUCUUUCCCCACCAU